GAUGAAGAACGUAGCGAAAUGCGUUACUUGGUGUGAAUUGCAGAAUCCCGUGAACCAUCGAGUCUUUGAACGCAAGUUGCGCCCGAAGCCAUCAGGUUGAGGGCACGUCUGCCUGGGCGUCACAUAUCGUUGCCCAAUGCCUAUUGCAGUGCAAUAGGAAUUUCUAGGGCGAAUGAUGGCUUCCCGUGAGCGUUGUUGCCUCGCGGUUGGUUGAAAAUCGAGUCCUUGGUAGGGUGUGCCAUGGUAGAUGGUGGUCGAGUUAGAACGAUACCGAUCAUGUGCAUGCUCCCCAAAAUAUGGCCUCUAUGACCCACACGCGUCUUUUGACGCUCAUGACGAGACCUCAGGUCAGGCGGGGCUACCCGCUGAAUUUAAGCAUAUCAAUAAGCGGAGGA
rnacentral:misc_RNA from 1 species